rnacentral:rRNA from 1 species
UGAGGAACAUGACCUUCGGCGGGGGAUAGCCGGCCCAACGGCCGGGCAAUACCGCGUACGACCACUUUGGGACAUCCCUAGGUGGUGAAAGCAGCAAUGCGCCGAUGGAGUGCCUCGCGGCCUAUCAGCUAGUUGGUGAGGUAACGGCUCACCAAGGCGACGACGGGUAGCUGGUCUGAGAGGAUGGCCAGCCACAUUGGGACUGAGACACGGCCCAGACUCCCGUAGGGACGG